UCAUACUUCCCCAACAUAUACGUCCAAUUGUACAUCUAAAUUAUUUCUUAAGACAAUGAUAAAUAUUUUGAUGAUAUGAUUUUCCAUGAAAAAACAACGUUCCCUUCUAAAUACAAUCUUUUACAUUCUAUAUUCUACAGGGGGAACUGAAUGGCGCAUACACGACUGGGUUGCGUCUGGGUGUCGGAGGUAGACCAACCUCUUGACGAGAGUUGGACAUACGAGGGUUAUUACGAAUCGAGACACUAAUGCGACAAGUGCUAACAAGUUCCAAAAGUGGAAAAAUCAAGAAGGAAGAUCUAAAUAGGAAGAUGGGCUUACAAACGGAAAUACGAAGCUGAGAAAUGUUCAAAAAUUUGGAAUUGACUUGUUACUGAGAAUCGCAGAUGUUCUACGUUUCAUUGUAUUGAAGAUGGUGUUAACGGUGUCUCACACGAUCGCGCCGAUAGGAGAAACUAUUACAUAUUUUCAUAAUAACUGAAACACGGAAUUAACACGGAAUAAAAAUCUAACAUGAAGUAAAAAUGUUUGAUGGAGCACUAAAAGUAUCUCUCCUCGACUACCGAGAGCGUCCUUGAUUGAUCCACAUGGCAAAGAGACGUGACGCGAUGACAACGAUGCUCACAUUGUUUAAACACAUAUGUAAUAUAAGCAAGCAUGGAUUCCUGGCAAUGUCAUGUACUCUCCUACAAUAUCAUCAUCCCUCUCUGUCCUACGAAGCGUUUGGCACAUCACAAACUCGACGUACGACGUUCCAACAUGUUUGAACGAUUUAUCGACCAACUAAACUC